rnacentral:sRNA from 1 species
GCCAGGAUGGUCUCGAUCUCUUGACCUCAUGAUCCACCCGCUCCAGCCUUCCAAAGUGCUGGGAUUACAGGCGUGAGCCACCGCGCCUGACCGACUCUUGCACUUUUCAAGCAAGCCCUCAGUGUCUGUGGGCCCCAAGUACAGCGUCUUCCAUGCUGAUUGCCCUGUUUCUAGGAAUGCAGUAGACACAGACCAGAGGGUCCGUGUGGCCCGUUGCUGUGAGGAUGUCUGUGCCCACUUAGUGGACUUGUUUCUCGUGGAGGAAAUCUUCCAGACUGCAAAGGAGACCCUCCAGGAGCUUCAGUGCUUCUGCAAGUAUCUACAGCGGUGGAGGGAAGCUGUCACAGCCCGCAAGAAACUGAGGCGCCAAAUGCGGGCUUUCCCUGCUGCGCCCUGCUGCGUGGACGUGAGCGACCGGCUGAGGGCGCUGGCGCCCAGUGCAGAGUGUCCCAUUGCUGAGGAGAACCUGGCCAGGGGCCUCCUGGACCUGGGCCAUGCAGGGAGAUUGGGCAUCUCCUGCACCAGGUUAAGGCGGCUCAGAAACAAGACGGCUCACCAGAUGAAGGUUCAGCACUUCUACCAGCAGCUGCUGAGUGAUGUGGCAUGGGCGUCUCUGGACCUGCCAUCCCUUGUGGCUGAGCACCUCCCUGGGAGGCAGGAGCAUGUGUUUUGGAAGCUGGUGCUGGUGUUGCCGGAUGGAGAGGAGCAGUCCCCAGAGAGCUGUGGCAGAAUUCUAGCAAAUUGGUUAAAAGUCAAGUUCAUGGGAGAUGAAGGCUCAGUGGAUGACACAUCCAGCGAUGCUGGUGGGAUUCAGACGCUUUCGCUUUUCAACUCGCUUAGCAGCAAAGGGGAUCAGAUGAUUUCUGUUAACGUGUGUAUAAAGGUGGCCCAUGGCGCCCUCAGUGAUGGUGCCAUUGAUGCUGUGGAGACACAGAAGGACCUCCUGGGAGCCAGUGGGCUCAUGCUGCUGCUUCCCCCCAAAAUGAAGAGUGAGGACAUGGCAGAGGAGGACGUGUACUGGCUGUCGGCCUUGCUGCAGCUCAAGCAGCUCCUGCAGGCCAAGCCCUUCCAGCCUGCGCUUCCUCUGGUGGUUCUUGUGCCUAGCCCAGGAGGGGACGCCGUUGAGAAGGAAGUAGAAGAUGGUCUGAUGCUACAGGACUUGGUUUCAGCUAAGCUGAUUUCAGAUUACACUGUUACCGAGAUCCCUGAUUCCAUUAAUGAUCUACAAGGUUCAACUAAGGUUUUGCAAGCAGUGCAGUGGCUGGUUUCCCACUGCCCCCAUUCCCUUGACCUCUGCUGCCAGACGCUCAUUCAGUACGUCGAAGACGGGAUUGGCCAUGAGUUUAGUGGCCGCUUUUUCCAUGACAGGAGAGAGAGGCGUCUGGGCGGUCUCGCUUCUCAGGAGCCUGGCGCCAUCAUUGAGCUGUUUAACAGUGUGCUGCAGUUCCUGGCUUCCGUGGUGUCCUCUGAACAGCUGUGUGACCUGUCCUGGCCUGUCACUGAGUUUGCUGAGGCAGGGGGCAGCCGGCUGCUUCCUCACCUGCACUGGAAUGCCCCAGAGCACCUGGCCUGGCUGAAGCAGGCUGUGCUUGGGUUCCAGCUUCCGCAGAUGGACCUUCCACCCCAGGGGGCCCCCUGGCUCCCCGUGUGCUCCAUGGUUGUCCAGUACGCUUCCCAGAUCCCCAGCUCACGCCAGACACAGCCUGUCCUCCAGUCCCAGGUGGAGAACCUGCUCCACAGAACCUACUGUAGGUGGAAGAGCAAGAGCCCCUCCCCAGUCCAUGGGGCAGGCCCCUCGGUCAUGGAGAUCCCAUGGGAUGAUCUCAUCGCCUUGUGUAUCAACCACAAGCUGAGAGACUGGACGCCCCCCCGGCUUCCUGUUACAUCAGAGGCGCUGAGUGAAGAUGGUCAGAUAUGUGUGUAUUUUUUUAAAAACCAUUUGAAAAAAUAUGAUGUUCCUUUGUCGUGGGAACAAGCCAGGUUGCAGACGCAGAAGGAGCUACAGCUGAGAGAGGGACGUUUGGGAAUAAAGCCUUUUCAUCCUUCUGCAAACAAUUUUCCCAUACCAUUGCUUCACAUGCACCGUAACUGGAAGAGGAGCACAGAGUAUGGUCGAGAGGGGAGGAUUCCCAGCACAGAGGAUCUGAUGCGAGGAGCAUCUGCUGAGGAGCUCUUGGCGCAGUGUUUGUCCAGCAGUCUGCUGCUGGAGAAAGAGGAGAACAACAGGUUUGAAGAUCAGCUUCAGCAAUGGUUGUCUGAAGACUCAGAAGCAUUUACGGAUUUAACUUCCCUUCCUCUCUAUCUUCCUCAGACUCUAGUGUCUCUUUCUCACACUAUUGAACCUGUGAUGAAAACAUCUGUAACUACUAGCCCACAGAGUGACAUGAUGAGGGAGCAACUGCAGCUGUCAGAGGCGACAGGAACGUGUCUAGGCGAACGACUAAAGCACCUGGAAAGGCUGAUCCGGAGUUCAAGGGAAGAGGAAGUUGCCUCUGAGCUCCAUCUCUCUGCACUGCUAGAUAUGGUGGACAUUUGAGCAGCCUGACCUGUGGGGAGAGGGUCUCUCCUGAAGAGUUUCUGUUUUUACUCAAAAUAAUGUUAUUCUCAGAUGCUUGAUGCGCUGUUGGAAAUGUGAUUAAUUUAAUCAUGCAGAUAAACCAUUUAAAUGUCA